GACGAACGCUGGCGGCGUGCUUAACACAUGCAAGUCGAACGGGUCUGCCCUGUUUUUUGCGGGGUGGGUCAGUGGCGAACGGGUGAGUGACACGUGAGUAACCUGCCCCUCACUUCUGGAUAACCGCUUGAAAGGGUGGCUAAUACGGGGUGUUCUGGCUGUGCCGCAUGGUGUGGCUGGGAAAGAUUCACUUUUGUGGUGUUUUGGUGGGGGAUGGGCUCGCGGCCUAUCAGCUUGUUGGUGGGGUGAUGGCCUGCCAAGGCUUUGACGGGUAGCCGGCCUGAGAGGGUGGGCGGUCACACUGGGACUGAGAUACGGCCCAGACUCCUGCGGGAGGCAGCAGUGGGGGGUAUUGCACAAUGGGCGGAAGCCUGAUGCAGCGGCGUCGCGUGAGGGAUGGAGGCCUUCGGGUUGUGAACCUCUUUCGCCGGUGAAGAAGGUCCUGCUCUUUGUGGUGGGGUUGACGGUAGCCGGGUUAUGAAGCGCCGGCUAACUACGUG
rnacentral:rRNA from 1 species